rnacentral:rRNA from 1 species
GAUGAACGCUAGCGGCAGGCUUAAUACAUGCAAGUCGAGGGGCAACAGGGGUAGCAAUACCUGCUGGCGACCGGCAAACGGGUGCGGAACACGUACAGAACCUUCCUUUAAGCGGGGGAUAGCCCAUAGAAAUGUGGAUUAAUACCCCAUAGUAAUGUUUAAUGGCAUCAUUAGAUAUUUAAAGAUUUAUCACUUAAAGAUGGCUGUGCGGCUGAUUAGGUAGUUGGUCGGGGUAACGGCCCACCAAGCCAACGAUCAGUAACUGGUGUGAGAGCACGACCAGUCACACGGGCACUGAGACACGGGCCCGACUCCUACGGGAGGCAGCAGUAAGGAAUAUUGGUCAAUGGACGCAAGUCUGAACCAGCCAUGCCGCGUGAAGGAUGAAGGCCCUCUGGGUUGUAAACUUCUUUUAUCUGGGAAGAAAUGCAUGCUUUUUAGUCGUGUUUGACGGUACCAGAGGAAUAAGCACCGGCUAACUCCGUGCCAGCCGCCGCUGUAAG